rnacentral:snRNA from 1 species
GCCCUUCGGGGCAUAUUGUGACACUGAAAAUAUACAGAGAAAAUUAGCCUUGCCCCUGCACUUAAGGAUGACGUGCUUAAUCAAAGAGAAGUUACCCAUUUUC